rnacentral:rRNA from 1 species
AGCAGCCGCGGUAAUUCCAGCUCCAAUAGCGUAUAUUAAAGUUGUUGCAGUUAAAAAGCUCGUAGUUGAAUUUCGGGAUUGGCGCAUCGGUCGUGCCUCACGGGGUAUGAACUGGUGCAGUCAAUUUCUCACCUUCUGGAGAACCGCGAUGUCCUUAAUUGGGUGCCGCGGGGAACCAGGACCUUUACUUUGAAAAAAUUAGAAGUGUUUAAAGCAGGCAUUUUUGCUUGAAUACAUUAGCAUGGAAUAUAAAAUAGGACGGCAUGGUUCUAUUUUGUUGGUUUCUAGGACCACCGUAAUGAUUAAUAGGGAUAGUUGGGGGCAUUAGUAUUCAAUUGUCAGAGGUGAAAUUCUUGGAUUUAUUGAAGACUAACUACUGCGAAAGCAUUUGCCAAGGAUGUUUUCAUUAAUCAAGAACGAAAGUUAGGGGAUCGAAGACGAUCAGAUACCGUCGUAGUCUUAACCAUAAACUAUAGCCGACUAGGAAUCAGACGAUGUUAAUUUUUAAUGACUCGUUUGG